CCAUCAACGCCUAUCUUCCUCUUGAAGACCCAUUUGUUUCCAACAGGUACAAUACCUUCAGGAGGGUCUACAAGAGUCCAGACCUGAUUUUGAUACAUGGAAUCCAUCUCGGAUUUCAUGGCCUCUUGCUAACUCUUUGAAUCAAUGUCGGACAUUGCUUCAGUAUAGUCUCUAGGGUCCUCCUUUGUUUCAUUGUCACCUAGAAGGUACAAUUCAUCAAAGUCAUUGUCUAAGCCAUACCUCUUAGGUGGCUUACUAACCCGUUCAGAUCUACGUGGAGCUAGGGGUUCAGGAACAGGGUUGUCAUCUUGUUGAGUGCUUGUUUGUGGUUCAUCAUUAAUCUCAUUAAUUUCUUUCAAUUCUAUCGUUUUCUCGCUACUUCCAUUGAGAACGAAUUCGUCCUCAAGGAACAUAGCAGUUCUGGCGACAAAGACUUUCUUGUCGUCAGGGUUAUAGAAUUCGUAUCCCAAAGUCUGUUUGGAAUACCCCACAAAGUAGCACUUAACAAAUCUUGCUUCAAGCUUGUCAGCUUCAAGCCUUUUAACGUAAGCCGGACAACCCCAAAUCCUAAUAUGAUUAAGAUUUGUGCUUUUGCCAUGCCAUAUCUCAUAUGGCGUUUGUGAAACUGAUUUGGAAGGUACUCUAUUAAGCAAGUAAGCUGCUUUAUAUAGAGCGUAUCCCCAGAAUGUUACUGGUAGAUUAGCAGAACUCAUCAUAGAACGAACCAUGUUCAUCAAGGUUCGAUUUCUCUAUUCAGAAACUCCGUUAUGCUGAGGACUUCCUGGUGGAGUCCACUGUGAUACUAUUCCACACUCUUUGAGAUAAUCUAGGAACUCGUUACUCAGAUAUUCACCGCCUCGAUCCGAUCUUAGGGUCUUUAUCUGUUUCCCAGUUUGCUUCUCAACUUCAUUCUUGAAUUCUUUGAACCUUUCAAAGGAUUCUGACUUGUACUUCAUAAGAUACACAUAGCCAAACCGAGAGUGAUCGUCGGUGAAUGUGAUAUAGUAGGAGAAGCCUCCUCUCGACGUAGUAGACAUAGGUCCACAUACGUCAGUGUGGAUUAACCCUAGAAUUUCAGUGGCUCGCUCUCAUUUUCCAGUAAAUGGAGAUUUGGUCAUCUUCCCUUUCAAGCAACAUUCACAAGUACCCAUCCGGUCAUUACCUAAUGGGCGGAUAUAUCCGUCUUUCGACAUCUUGCGAAUCUUAUCAAGGUUCACAUGUCCAAGUUUAAGAUGCCACAUCUUUUCAUGGUUAACUUCUUCUCUAGCCCUUUUGGGUUUUGAGGUAUUCCUGCUUUCAAUACAGUGCGUCCCACUAUUCGUCUCUAGGUGAAAAAGUCCCUCUAUCAUAUUACCAUGAGAGAUAAUACGACCCGUUCAAGUAUAAAGUGCAACUCAUUUUGUCAAACAAUACUGAGUGCCCAUCUCGUAAAAGCUUAGAGAUAGAAAUCAAAAUUCUUUAUACAUGAAGGAAAAUAUAAACAAUUUUUAAGUUCCAGGACUUCCCCAGAGGGUAGGUUAAGCAUGUAGGUGCCUAUUGCUUUUGCAGAGAUUUUAGUGCCGUUCCCAACUCGCACAACCAUCUCCCCAUUGCGCAGUGACCUGCUCCCUGCUAGUCCCUGCAACGUAUUGCAAAUAUGUUGACUAGCGCCUGAAUCAAAUAUCCAGGAAUUGGAGCUCACUGUAAAAGCACUCUCUAUGACAGAAAUAGUCUCUUCAAAAGUUCGUGUCAUAAGGCUCGCAAUGCGCACCCUGUAUUUCUUUUUCCAACGUUCAUCCUUUCCACAAUGAAAGCAUGUUCCUUUGGAUUUCUUUGCCUUCUUCUUAUGCAAACCUUUUCCUUGUGUUUGCAUUCUCACUCCCACUGUCCCUUUUGAAACCUUUUUCAAAUUUACAGCACAUGUCAAUCAUCUCUUUCAAAGAAUGAUCGAAUCUAUUUCACUUUAUAGUUUACAAUAAACUUAGUGAAAUCAUCCGAGAGAGAUGCAAGGAAAAAGUCUUGGGCCAUUUUCCCAUCGAUGGAAGUUCCUAAACUUUUAAGAUCUUUAAAUAUCUUUUCCAUCUUUUGUCCAUGUUUAUGGACCGAUGCCCCCUUUGCCAUCUUGGCAUUCAUUAGACUACAAACAUUUGAGAAUCGUACAUUACUAGUCUCAAUGUCAUGCAUCUUAUGCAAACUUUCAACCAUGGCACAAGAAGUGUUCAUGUGCUUAUGUAGCUUCAUAAGCUCCUCACUAAGUGAAGUGAGGAUUAAGCAUUUGGCUUGUAAGUCAUCCUCAUAGUGUCUAACAUAAUUUUGACACUCCUCCUUUGAAGCUAGUUUCGUAGGAGGUACAUGAGGAGGGGAUUGCUUAAGCACAUACAAUAUGUCUUUCACCUUUGAGACAUUCUCAAUAUGGCGAUACCAAGCAAGGAAACGUUGGCCCUUAAGGCCCCUUUUGUCAAGUAUAAUGGUGGGUAUAAUUUUAGGCAUGUCGUUCACUACAUAACAUAACAGAAAUCGUAUUAGAUUGUUUGUUUUAAAACUAUUUGAUUGGGUCUUUGAAUCAAAUAGUACCACCCACUAUUUUUGGCAAAUUCCACAUCCCUCAAUAGAAUUCGAGAGUUAUAUUGAACUCUUAGCGGGUUAUGGGAGACUCACCAUUACCAAGCCCACCUCAGAAGAAAAUCAUAUUGGCUAGCAACAAUAAUGAUGAGAGAAUAACGCAUUAUUCAUUUACAACCUUUUGUAAUUACCCAUCUAAUUUGGCCUCUAGAGAACGAUGCCUCAGAAGAAUAUCAUAUUGGCACCAUUGCACUUAGUUAAGUCGUUCCCACCAUGCUUGUUCAAGUAGGGGUUCAAGAAUGGCCUCAGAAGAAUAUCAUAUUGGCCAUACUCGUUGCCUACUUUCACUUCAUCAUAUGUUUAUGGGCUUCUCCUGAAUGUAAGCACAUACUUUGCAUACCCCAGAACUGGACGAAUACGGUGUAUGAGUCACAAACGAUUGAAGCCCACCACGGUGGAAGGCCUACGAAGAGAUGUUCAAAACAUCUCUCGCUUAUCAACUUAAUAUUUGUUUUGAGGGAGUAGUUUUGGGCUACAUCAAAACAUUUUAAUCACAUUAAAAGAACUUGGGCCUAUCACAACUAUUGGUCCAAGUUAAUAUGAAUUAGUAGCAUAUAAUACUCCCACUGUUUCGUUGAAACAAGCGAGACUAUAUGGAACUACUACCGAAUGCAUUGCAUCCUCAUAUGGACUAUAUAGUCAUAUUAGGUUUUAGGAUGAUUAUGAACCGAUUAAUUUGAUCCAACACGAGCCUUGUGUUGGACCUUGGGUUUAAGGUAGAUAGUUGUUGAUUUUAGUUACGCGUUUAAUCUAAUUAAACCGUUAUUUCCUAUUGGGCGUUGGACCCAACUAUUCCAUUUUGCAUACACAUAAACAAAAGGAAUACAUGAAAUAAAAAUAAGGGCUUAUGCCCUUUUACAACAUAAAUCAAAUGAUGGACUUAUGUCCAUUUACAACAAAUUGAAUUAAUCAAAUUACAUUCAAAUCUACACUACUUAAAACCCAAACAUUCAUAAUGUAUAUCGGCCAAUCACAUAGCUCAAUUAUCGUGGCCCUUGGUUCAUAAUCACCCUUUUCUUAAUCAAUCAUAUUAACUAAGAAAACAACUUUAAACAAUUGGUUUUUGGAUCCAUAGAAUUGAUUUAAAUGGAACUAAAUGAAAUGAAAAUCCAAUUCUCAUUAAAGAGACAAAACAAUUUUGUUCUCAUUUUAUUUGGGCCAAAAGGAAACUAUGACCACAACAAUUGGGCCAUAAUGCAAAUACAAAAACUUUUGGGGUCACUUUGAAAAAACACAAAAGUCCACAACUUCAUGUAAUUUCAACUAGAACCCAAAAUUUCAUUAAUGUAAAAACAUCAUUAAAGGAUCAAAACAAUUUGUCCUUUAGAGUUUUUAAGCCUAAACGUAAAAACGUGAACUUUUGGGCCAAAGUGCAAAUACACAAAAGUAUCAAAACUUUAUGUAAUUGCAUAAAAGACCCCAAAAGUAACCCCACUAGGGGGUGGCCGGUUUUUAGAGGUGUGAAUGAGUGUGAAAGGGUUUUAUGCAAGUUGUGCAUGCAUGUGCUAAAUGCAAGUGGAUUUUGGUGGGUGAGUUAUUGGUGAAAUUGAUGGUUUGUAAGAAAAAUUAAAGUUUAUGACAAAACAUUAAAACCAUUUCAUCACAUCUCACCAAUACCAUCAACCAUCAAAACAUAAACCAAAACUUUAUGAAAAACAUAAAACUUUUGAAUCAAAACUUCAAACCUUUUUGUUCUUGGCAAGAACUUCAAGAACAUUUGAAGAACACCAUGAAAACUCAUAAUAGCUCCAUGGAUGUUUUCAUUCACCAAAACUCAAUUUUUCACCUCUCAAAAGAGGGCUAAUAUCCUAGGGUACUUAGGGGUUCCAAAAGUCACCUUAAAACCAUUUUAACAAGACAAACAUGAACCCAAAAAGUCACCCUAAGGAUUUGGCCGAAUUUCCCAAAACUCAUGGCACCAAAUUUUAGUUCCAAUAUUCAUGCUUAAAUGAAAUAUAUCUACAACAUUUGAGAUGCUAAAUUUUCUAGCAAAAUUUAUAUAUUCAAAAGCAAGAACAAAGCUUGUAACAUUUACAACAUUUAAAUCACAAAAUAUGAACAUCACAAAACCCAAAAGGAUUCACCAUACACUAGGCCUAGGCUCUGAUACCACUUGAAGGAAAAAAUUUGUCCUAGCUAAGAACAAGUAUGAACAUUUGAAUACACAUGCAAGCUAUUAACACUUUAAAGUAGGCAUGCAUCCAAAAACAAUUCAUAAAACCCUAGACUUUCAAAGCCUAGUAUAUGGUGAACCAAAAUAAACUCUUUAACAACAUUAAAGAGAAAGAAGAAUUUAGUGAUUCUUUACCCUUGAAGCUCAUCCUUGAUUACACAAGGGAUUCACCCAAGUGGAGGGCCUUCAAGUCACCUCCAAGCUCCUUGAAUCCUCCUUGUGUUUUCCUCCCUUUAGUGCUCCUUUGAUGAUUUGAGGAAAAAGGAUUUGUUCUCCAAAACACCAAAAGCUUGAUGUCUCUAAGUCUCUUCACCAAGGUUGUAUCUUGUGAAGAUGAAUUGGAUGACUAAGGGAAGAAGAGAUUGCUAGAUGUCCCUCCCCUUAGUGGCCGGCCUCCUUAGAAGAAAAUGGAGAAAAUGUUUCACCCAAUUUCAACAAGAAAAAACCCUAAUUAGAAAAUAGCUAUAAAGUUGCUUUUAUAACCUUUUCUUUGGUGAGUGGCAAACUUGUAAUAAAGCAAACUUUGCCCAUUCACCCUAAUGGCCGGCCCUCCUUGGUGUUAUUGGGCUAUUUGCCCAUUUUGUUUAGUUGUCAUACAACUUGAACAUAAUGGGCCUUUUGGACCAAAACGAUUUUGGGCCCCGAAACCCAAAACCAACAUAUAAGCCCAAUACGAACCUUUCGUAAAAUUAAUUAACUAAUUAAUUAAUCUUGACCAUUAUUCAAUUAAACCAUUUAAUUGCUUAUCCAUUUCAUAUAAUUUCUUCACAUACAUCCUUACUCGGUGUACGAUCCAUUAGGUUCCAAUUAGGGAGGCAGUGGGCGAUGUUACUCUUAACUAUCGAUUUGUGAAUUGAAACCACAUUUCAAUUCUCCCUUUAAUGAUUAGUGUUACCUAAUCAUUUGGGCUUCCACAAACCAUGAGUGACACCUAGCAGUAUGUCAUGGUUACCCAAGCUAAGUAGAAUUGGUUGGAGAACCUAUCCAGUUACAACUACAAUGCAAUACGGUCAUUCUCUAAUACAAUACUCUUAAUCACAUUGUUUAAGUGAUAGUUUGUUUCAUGUCUACUAUCCAAUGUGAUACUUUCCUAUAUGAUUCCCUUGAAUAUGAUUUGGAACAAACUUCCUAAGUCAUAUUCAUUUGCUUUGGCCAAAGACUUUAGAAUCAUAUCUUAGAGUAUUCUCCCUCCACCAUGGAAGGUUAGAGAUCCCUUGUUGUGCAUUCAUAUGCCUACAUGACUAGAUAGCUUGACCCCAACAAUGCCGUGGACACUCCGAUGGAAUGCCGUUUGACAUGAUCAAAGAUCAAGGACCUAACCAUUAGACAUCUAUGAUGCCUCAGGUCAAAGGACUACUUUGCAUAUUGUAACUUUAGAGUUCAUACAUGACAUGUAUGUUUGAACUCUCUUUUGAUCGUAGUUCAGUGUACUCGAUUACUCUUUCGAGCACCUAUGUGUUUGUCUUAGUGUCCAACACCAAAUGACUUGAGACUAGUCAUACUCACGCUUGAGUCAACACAACACAUACUAACCUUAGCGGAUUGUCAAUGCCCAAUUGGCAAUCCUAUGGCUAGGAACGUUUUAGGAAUGAACAUAAGAGAAAGGUCUCGAUAAUCUAACUCACUUAGAUCACUUAUCUCUUAGAACAAAUACAUUCCUUGGAUUCUCUUAUUGCUUAAACACAUGAUACAAUAAAUAGUGAUUAACAAUAAGAUUUGCCCUUCAUUAAACAUAUAAAAGUUUAAUACAUUAAGUAUUCCAAAAAACUAUUACAUCAAAUGAGUGGCUUUGUGGGCAUACUUCCAACAUUCCAUUCAUGAGAUCAUAUAUAUACAUGAAUUAAUAAUUCUAGAAAUUGCUUCUUUGUUGAAAAACAUAUGUGAGUACUAGUUUUCAUGUUUACUCAAUCUUCUCACAUAUACCUAGUAUAGGGAGUGUAGUCAGAAAUUAUUGUGUGAAAAUAAGAGUGUAUCUAGUAAGGAAUUGAGGAAAUUCUCUAAGGUAUGUUACCACAUUCAAAAUGUUGUUUAAUUGAUUAAAUGUGAGCUAGUGAAUGGUGGCUAUGAUUAAGUAUGCUCGAGGGUAAGGAUUGCUUAAAUCUAUGUGAGUGGUGAUCUUUGGCAUGUCAUGUUUCAUUAAAAAUCCCUGAGGCAAAUGUUGGAAGGUCUAGGUUAUGUUUUGUUUGUUUCGUUUGUUUUGUUUUGCUCGAAGACUAGCAAAAGCUAAGUGUGGAGGAAUUUGAUAGGUGCAUAUUUAUGCGACUUAGUUAGCUUGUUCUUGUGCAUUUAUGUUGUUAUUUCUUUGUCAAUUAUGUAUUUUAAGCUAUUUUCGUGUGUUUGUAGGUCCUAAUAACAAAGUUGGCAAGAAAGUGCAUUUUGGAGCAAUUUUGGGCUGAAAUGGAUUGCAUGCAUAUGAAGCAAGUUGGAUGGACAUUUUUGGUGUUUUAGAAAGGGUUUAAACAUAUGCAAAAAUAUGAACAAUGAAGUUGAAGUGUGGAAGUCUGCAGAUACAUACACUUAAGGAACAAUUUGAAAGGAAAAGAAGUGAAAGAUGCCAUUUGUUGGAUUGCUUUACAAGUUGUAUUCACAUUUCCAGCAACUACAAACAUAAUUGCAAGCUGAAAUAAUGCAUAGCAUGUGUGUGAAAGUGUCUAGCAGCAGGUGCAUGUGUGAAGAGGUGUAAAGUGGCCAAAAGUUGGUGUUUGCAAGAUGAAAUGAUGAAAAACAUGUGUGUGAAAGUUGUCUAAUAGCUAGUACAUGUGGAAGUGAGUUGGAACACAAGGCAAAGAGUGCAGAAAAUCAAGUUUGCAGGCACAUGGACAACUCCUUUGCCGUGCACCCCAUCCAUUGUUGCAGCAUCCUUUCACCUUUCCUUUGUCUACCAUGUGCACAAUAUUUUUGUCCACUCAAUGCACUUAUGGCUGCACACACCACUCCAUUUUACCCCCAUGCCGUGCAUCAUGACUCCACUUUCACCCUUGAAUCAUUUCAGCACCACUUCAUUGAAUCAUUGCUGCACACACCACUCCAUUUUCUCCUACAAAUGCCAUGCACUUCCUCUAUAAAAGGAAGUGUGUGUAACAGCCAUAGUGUGCAGAUUUUGAUCCAUCAACACUAUCCACCCUUCACCAUAACUCACCUAUAUCCAUCCACCACCAUAAUUUACCACUCAUCCAUCAAACCAUACCUUGUGCCGUAACAAAGAGAAGAAGGAGAACCUUUGGACGUGUUUGCCAUUCAAGUUGGAUUGUUGGAGCGUUUUUAGGUGUAUUCAUUCUUUGUUUUUAAUGUUUAAGUUUAUGUAUCUUUGUUUUGCGAACAUGAGGAACUAAACCCAUCUUGGCUAGGGGUGAUUUCAAAGCCAUGAUUAUGUGUGCAAUAUGAGUUGAUAAAUUCCAGUUAUUAAUUCUUGAAUCAUGAAUGCAAUUAGCUUAACUAUUUGAUUGAUAACUUAUUUGUGUUUGUUGAUUGAGGAUCGAUACUUAAUUAGCAUGCAUAAAUCUGAUGCUAGAAUAUAAGGGAGUUUCACAUAAUCGUUACAAACUUAUAUUUACAAGUAGUGGAGGUCGCUUAUAAACGAUCGCAUUAAGUUUAAUUCCUAGCAUGAGCGACAUGAUAUCAUAGUUGCAAGUGCUUUGUCAAUGCUUAUGAUUUUCAUUAAACGUAAUGAUCUUUGAUUGUAUCUCUAUUAUGAUGUCAUGUAAGGAACUUUUGAAGAAUGUUUUGGGUUGUCGAAUGAUGUCAUCCAAUCCAAUAAUACAAGGAAAAUAUGAGGAUUAACUAGUGAUGUCAUGGUUAAUUUGGGGCAUUGUCGUUUAUAAUUCAAUGAAGGAGUAACUGGAAAUCAAGUUGUCUGCAUAAAUGGCAUGUGUGGAGAAAGAGCCUCUAGCUAGCUUAUCAUCCAUCUAAUUCAACCAAAUUCGUCCAAAAUCUGUCUUAAGUUUUAGUUACUUGUUUUUAUUUUAAAUUCGUCCAAAACUCAAUCCCCCUUUACUUUAGUGUGUCUAAUUAGUUAGAAUCUAUUAGGUUGUGUUUUUAAGUGUUUUGAUUCAAGUAAAAGUCAAUUUUCGUCCAAAGUCAUUCCUAGUGUCUAGUUUAAGUUUAAUUGGUUGUUUUAAGCUGUUUUGAGUAUUUUAAGUUUGCUUUGAGUCUUGUGAGUCUUGUUAAGUGUUUUUAAGUUUAGUUUUAUGUUUUUGAGUCAAUUUAGAAGUUAUUAGCAAGCCUUCCUAAUCCCCGGCCUAGAACGAUCCCUACUUAUACAUAUACUACAAUUGUCAAAAGAUGGUUUUAAUUUGUGUGUUAUGUUAAUUUUCGCAUCACAUUCGCCUCAGGGAUUUCCAAUGGAACACGAUACAUUAAAAAUCACUACGCACAUAGAUUUUAGUUGUCCCUACCCUCGAGGGCAUACUUAAUCACAGUCACUACUCACUAGCUCGCAUUUAAUCAAAUUAAAACAUGGUUUUGAUGUAGUAACAUGCCUUAGAGAAUUCCCUCAAUUCCUCACUGGAUGUACACUCUAUUUUCACACAGAUUUUCUAACUACACUCCAUACACUAGUUAUAUGUGAGAAGAUUGAUGUAAACAUGUAAACUAACACUCACAUAUGUUAUGAUCAAAGAAGGCAAUUUUUGGAAUUAUCAAUGCAUGUAUAUAUAUAUGAUCUCAUGAGCGGAAUGCCACUACUUAGACGUGGGAUCCAUGGAUACCAUAUGCUCAUACCAAUCCCAAACUCCACAUAUUGAAACACACAACAACCAAGAUAAAAUUCUAAGGGUUGUAACAGGGCUAAGGGUAUUGGCUAACAAAGAAAGGUAAGGAUAAACAAAGGUUCUUAAAGCAAUAGUAAGCAAAGCAAUGAAAUCAACUUAGAAUUCACUCUUGAAUGCAGCAAAUAACUUGAAACACUAAGGGGAUUUCGUACAACUUAGGGUCAUAUUCAACUUUUUGGACCCUUUCUUCAAUAACCAAUACUUGUGAGUUCAUUCUUACUUAUUUUGAACUCUUUUUCUUUUCUUUUUUUCCACUUUUUCUUCUUUUUCAUGUUUUUUUUUCUACUUGUGUACAUAACCUUCCCCCACACUUGAUUUCUACAAUAUGUUUGAUCAAAAGGAAUUCCUUCUAAGUCAUGCUCCACUAUACUUUAAGAACAAGGGUAUGGAUAGUCCUAUUCUAGGCUAGGUCGGGAUAAUGUGGCUAACAAAGAAAAUAGGCUAAAACAAGGGUAUGGAUAGUCCUACUCAAAGGGGUUAAACCUACAAUACAUAUGCAAAGGAUUAAGGCUUUUUGGCUUUGGUGGUAACUACUAAACAACUUCAUCUUGUUAUAUGUUAUACACUCAAUUUUAAGCUUUGAAUGAAACGGGCAUGAGUUCUAAUAUUUGGAACUAAAAUGAUAAAAUGCAUUCUAAGUAGCAACCAAGCAAAGAAUGAUCAGAUCAUGCAACGACUUUAGAAAAUAAGAAAUCACAGAUUAAUAACUCUCUAAAUAAUGUUUAGGCUCAAGUCUCUCAGGAUUGUAGCAUUAGUUUGAGUUCCUUCCUUCAAGCAUGUUACAAAAACUGAUAUUUUCCUUUGUGAUUACAUGUGAAUUCGUUAAUGACAACUACAACCAAGAAUAAACCAAAGAGCAUAUCAAACUUCCAUUCAUGUUUUUAAUUUUUUUUAACAGUCAUGCAAUAAAAACCAAAUCCUCAUCAUUGUGUUGGAACGUAUUCUAAGACACAAACACACAAAAAUGACUCUAAAAUGACUCUUUUUGGGUUUUUCAAAACGUUUUCUACUUUUUUUUUCAAAUUUUUGUAUUUUCUGCUAAAGACACACUAAAACACAUCAACACACACUACAAACACUUAAAAAUAGUGAGAAACAACUCUAGUGGUGCUAGGUGGUGAAAUCCUACGAAUUUUCAACAAAAACACUUGUUUACCCCCCCCCCCCCAGUACUUAAACCAAACAUUGUCAUCAAUGUUUCAAACAUAGACUCACACAUAAGCAAGCAAACGACACAAUGAACAAACAUGACAAACAUGGCAAAGUAAAAGCAAGAAAGAGUAGAGUUUAAGAACGCAAAUCUGGUUAUGAUGCCAUAGCUUCCUAGUUCUUCUUUAUUCGCAUGGAUUGUCUCCUAAGAAGCACUUGCUUUAACGUCUUCCAGCUGGAUGAUACAUCCAUUCAAACUCCCCUAGGUCCCAUGGCACGGAGUUGAUCUUUGAAUGGGAGGUGAUACUUGAAAUGAUCUAGGAAUGGUUUAAAUUCUGUGUGCUCCGACAUGAAAUCAAGAAUAAACACCCCUUCGAAAGUUGUAGGACUAGAAAAUUCAACCAGAUUUGGUGUUGUGAGAGUUAUGACUUGUCCCGUGUCAUAAAAUCCAACUUCUUUGGGAAUUGUCGUCUCAAGUACAUCCCCUUUGAUGAAUUCUUGAUAUUCCCCAGCCACUUAUUUCUCUUGAAUCAUUCUUCUUGUUAUACAAAGUUCUUUGAACAAUUCAACACAUUCUGGAACUUGAUUUGUUGUACCAAGAAUUUGGAUAUUACUUUGCACCCUUGGAAGGGCUUCCAAUAUGUCUUUUUCACUUUCUUCUUCCUUGGAAAUCAUGAACCUGCAAGGGAUAGGGACAUUUAGUGGAAUGGGGUUAGAAAGAAUUGAAUUUGGAACAACCUUACUUGAAUUGGAUGAUGUAGGAGCCUUAGAAGGCUGCGGCAAGGGUUGUUCUUCCCAUGCUGUGGAUUUGUCUUCCUCAUCUUCUUCAAGCAUUAACUGUUUGUCUACUUCUGUGUUAUGUUUAGACAUCUUUAGUUCAACUUCAACCUCCAUACUACUUCCUAAAGUGAUGGCUUCAGCGAUUUCAAAAUCUCCCCAUGGAUUGACAAUGGUUGAGCUGGAGAGUUCACUUUGUUUUUAAAUUUGCCCCAUGAAUUCCAUCAUCUCUCCAAGUUUUCAAUUCGCUCAUCUCCUUAGCUCAAUUUGCUAUUCGAUUAUUUUGAUUUUGUAAUCCCUACAAUACAGAAGUUAGUAAUUGAAUAGCUUGAUCAUUAUCAAAUAGCGAACCUGAAUUUGGUUGGGCAUAUUGUUAUAGGGGAGACUGUGGUAGUGCAUAUGGCCAUUUAUAGAACUCCUCAGAUGGCUGCCAAUCUUCUUGUUGAACUUGUUGAGGUUCCUUCCACAUAGAAUUUGAAUAAUCUCUCAAAUCUGAAUUGUAAGUGUUGGAAAACAAGUUGUUUCUUGAUUGAUUAUGGCCUUGAUAACCCCAAGCACCUCUAUUCUCAUUGAAUUGAGGACAUUGAUGAGUUUGAUAUCCUUACCUAUAGGACACACCAAAUGUAGGGACACUUUGCAUUGUGGUACCAAUAUAUCACGCUACCAUAUCGCUUAACUCCAAACAAAAUCUAUCAAAAGCACAACACCCACAAGAACAAAAGAAUCAGGGAACUGCCGAUAGAAAACGGAGCCUUCGCUGAAAGGCAAAUCCCUUCCAAUGAUAUGUAGGGAGUCCUUUAUGGACCCAAUUGCAACUUUGUUGUCUGCACGAAGGAAAUUCAUGGAGAACUCAUCUCCUAACGCCCAGAGGCAGCGUUGAGGGGGAGCGAAAUGUGCAAUGGCAUAGGACCCCUAAAUUUAAAGGGCCACAAAAAAAUUUUGGUAUCUUAUAUUUAUAUGUAAUAAUGUUAUAUAUUAAAAAAAUAUUUUUAUUAGCACUUUAAAAUCUUAUUAUGCACUUUUAUAAGUGUUAUUUUUUUUUCUUUUGAGAUAUUAGAAAUGCCAAUAGCAACACCUUAAAAACGAUUUUCUUUUCAAUUAUAUUAUAUAAUAAUGCUAUAUAUUCAAGUGAAACUUUAAAGUUAGAGUUUUUGAAGCUUUUUUUUUUCUUUCUUUGGUUGCUUAAGAUUGAACUGUUUUUGAUUAUUUAGAGAAAGUUAUGUUUGUAACUAUUUUUACUUAUUUAAUGAUACUUGUAAACCUAAAUGUUGUUUUGAUUUAAGUUAUUAUUUUCUAGUACCAAUAUAUUGUCCUACUUAAAAAAAAAUUUAAAAUAAAAAAACUAUCUUAAAAAAGGGCCCUUUUAUAAAUGUCGCACAUGGCCCCCGAAAUCUCAUAGACGGCUAUGCUAAAGCCCCACCAUGGGUUUAUUGCCAAAAGUGAUCGCUGGUGUAAAUUCUUACAUUAUAUCAUCUUUUCCUUAGAGCUACCUCAGUGAUUUGAUUCCCUUUCCCAAAGAUAUGUAGGCAAUCCUUUACGGAUUCAAUCACACCCUCUUGUCAAACAAUCCCAUUCCCUUUAUCAAUAAAGAAGUUCUGGAAUUUAUCUGUCUUAUUUAGUUACAUUCAAUGUUUUGUCAAUCUAUAUGUCUUCAAAAACUUUGCACAGUUGCAAAUUUGACAAAAUUCAAAAAUAAACACCCCUUAAUGUUUCUUUUUGCUUUUUGAACAUCUUAUUUGAAAUAAUCUUUUUGACUCAUUUGAUCGAUUGGACUAACAAUAACGGAAGUGCAACAAAGUCAAGGAACGGAAGUGAACAUUUGAGUCAAUUACCAAAACAAAUGUGUAGGUAGUUGAAUCACGGAUGAAAGUAAGCAUAUUCUAUUCUUUUUUGGUACAAAAAUUAAUCAAACUUUAUUAUAUUAAGAGGAAAUUAUAAUUCCAUUCAACUUUUCUAUAUCUUCUGGACAAAAUAGUUGACACACCCCGACCUAAAAUCAAGGCAUGCUGGCCGUCACAUGAGGGUGACGUAGCCAUGUGCACAGUACGGAUGCAAUAAGGAUAUGAAAUAUACAAAUAAAUAAGAACUGAAAGCUAAUUAAUGUGCACUAAUAAGCAGAAAGUGCUAGGAAUGAGAUACAAGUGUAAAUACACCUAAUCAGAGCAUAGAAGUCUAGGUGCAGUCUAGUAGGACAAGUACUAGUUAUACAGUACCAGAAGAAGUCCUACGAAUAUUAUACUUUGUCAGAACUGCCAAGAUCCACAAAUGCCACCAAUAGCAAGUCUACCUAAAACCUGGAGGGGAGCAAAAUAGAAAAUGUGAGUGGGCAAAAACAAAGCUUUUCAAAAUCAUUUCAUUUACCAAAUGCUCUAACCCCUCGCCGUAAAACAUGUAUAAUUUUCCCAGAAAUGAAAUAUAAAUAUAUAUAUAUAUAUAUAUAUAUAUUAGGUUCUAAAAAGCGCUAGGUGCUAGUCAGGCGGCGGGUAGGGGCCUAACGCCUAGGCGGCUAGGCGGGGGCCUAGGCGGCCUAGGAGGAUUUAGGUAAAUUUAUUGUAUAUUGUGUAAAUAAGUAGAGAUUACAUAAAGUACAUGUAUCCAACAAGCUUACAAUUUGAAAACACAUUAACCAUGUAAUCAAUCUGAGUGUUUUUGGAUGAUAUAUGUAUCUAACAAGGCAACAAGUAUCCAUCAAGCUUACAAUCAAAAUGAAUGUUCUUGGAUAAUACCUGUAUGCAAUAAGCAUCCAACAAACUUCCAAUUUAAAAGCACAUUGUCAUUAAGCAUAUAAUCAUUGUCAUUGAGCAUAUAAUCAAAAUGAGAGUUCUUUUCUUGAGUAUCCAACAAACUUACAAAUUAAACAUUGUCAUUAAGCAUAUAAUCAUUGUCAUUGAGCAUAUAAUCAAAAUGAGAGUUCUUUUCUUGAGUAUCCAACAAACUUACAAAUUAAAAGCACAUGAAAGUUGUUUUCCUGAGUAUCCAACAAACUUACAAAUUAAAAGCACAUUAAGCAUAAAAUCAAAAUGAGUGUUCUUGGAUAAUACAUGUAUCCAACAAGUUCACAAUUUAAAGUUUAAACACAUUACACAUAAAAUGCAAAAUGAAAGGGAUAAGGAUAUAAGAUACUUGCAAAGUUUUAGAGCUAGGCCUAAAUCUCUUCUUCUCCACAUCCUUCCAAGAUUCUCUCCGUGUCAGACUCAAACUCAAUUUCUUCUUCAUCAUCUCCUUCUUCUUCUGUGUCCUCAUCCCAUACAAAAUCUUCUUCAUGAAGCUCUCUUACUUCAACAUUUCUAGAACUCCUCCUAGGCUCUAGGGAACUAUCCACCUCUAAUUGCUCUCCAUCCAUUCCCGAACCAAGCUCAGUUUCUUCAUCAACACCCUCCACAAUCCAUCCUUGCGCCAUACUAGCUUCAUUAGCGAGUAGUAUAUCCACUUUCUUCUCUUUCUCUCUUUUCUUCUUGUUCAUGAUCCUCGCAUUGAAUUGGACAUAGACCAAAUUAUUCAACCUUGUAGUAUCUAGUCUAUUCCUUUUCUUUGUAUGUAUUCCCCCAAAAGUGCUCCAAUUUCUCUCACACCUGGAUGAACUUGUAGUCAAUGAGAGAAUUUUGAUAGCAAUUCUUUGCAAAUUAGGCACACCAUUGCCAUAAGUAGACCACCAUGAAGCUAAAAAAGUACAAAAUACAAAAUUUGAAUUAGACUAGUAAAGAAAAACAAUUAGAACUAGACUAGUAAAGAAAAACAAUUAGAAUCAUACUCGGAUCAUAGUUGUCAUCAUUCUCAACGCAUCCAAUCUCUGCCAAAUGUCUUCCAAAUCCACCAUUUUUUUUCUUGUACUUCGGCAUCUCUAUAUUAAUAACUCGGUUUUGGACUUCAAAGUUGUCGGGGAAGAACUUCUCAACAUAAGUAAACAUGGCGUCCAUGACUAAUGAAUCAUGUUGAAUGCUUGGAUCUUUGAAGAAGUAAAAAGGAUUCAAGAAAUAGGCCUCCAUAUGUAAUGGACCAUCAAGCCAAUCAUGAGCUUUUUCAUCAAUAAUUUGUAUGAUUGGUCUAUAAUGGGCCUUCUUAUUUUUCAAUGCCUCUUUGAUCUCAUUCCUCACUUUUUGUAGCUCCCUGUACAAAAACCCCAUUGAUGGCUUUUUAUCCCCAUCCACAAGUUGAAGAACCUUAAACAAUAGUUCAAACACUCUCAAGUAAAGUAAGACCCCAUUCCAAAAUUGUGCACUCACCAUGGUAGCAUAUGCCGCUUUCCCCUUUGUACUCUUAGAAUGUUUGCAUUUUUCUCAUUCAUCACUAGCAACCAUAAUCCUCAAGUCCUUUUUCUUAUCAACCAAGCUUUGCAAAGUUAGGAAAGAAGUUGCAAAUCUUGUGACUCCGGGUCUCACUAUGUCUCUUUUCUUUGUAUACUUUCUCAUCAAUGCUCAUGUUUUAUGAUGAGCAUAAAUGAAGAUAGCAAAAGCCUUUGCCUUUUCAAUCACUCCUUUGAACCUAGGUAGGUUACCAAUUUCUUGAAGCAUGAGGUUCAACGUGUGAGUGGCACAUGAUGUCCAAAACAUGUGUGGCCUCUUGUCCAACAUCUUGUUUGCCGCUGCCAUAUUGUUAGAAGCAUUGUUGGUUACCACUUGAACAACAUUUUGUGGACCAACUUCUUCGAUGCACUUGUCAACAUAUUCAAAUAUGUAUUCCCUGGUGUGUGCUUCACUAGAGCAUUCCUUGGAAGAAAGAAAUAUUGUGCCUUCUUUGCAUGUCACACACAAAUUCAUUAUACUUCUUCUUUUUCGAUUGGUCCAAGCAUUGGUCAUAAUUGAGCAACCAUUCAAAGCCCAUUUUUCUUCAUGCUUCUUAAGAGAUUGUUUUACCCUUUCCACCUUUUCUUUCAAUAAAGGCUCUCUCAAAUCAUAUUGACUUAGAGGUUGGUAUCCCGGGCCAAAUUGACCAACUGAUUCCACAAAGCAUUUGAAGCUAUCAUUAUCAAUGGCAUGGAAAGGAAUACCGGCUUCGUAGACCCAUCGAGGCAGAUAUUGAUCCACCUGAUGUGUUCUAUCCUUCCAAAUUGCAUCAUGAAGAUUUUGUUGUCGCUUACUCUUGCUUCCAUCAUUUGAUUUUGAAGAACCAGGAUUGAUGGAGAAUGCAAACCUAUCAAUAACCCCAAGAGUUCGCAACCUUUUCCUUGACUCAACAACUUCAAUAUCUUUAUCUUCUUCAAUAUGUGGACCUCUUCCCUCACUUCCUCAUAGUAGUGCAUGUUUCUUUCUUUCUUCUUCUUUUUUGCUUCAUUUAAUGCGGCUUUACAUUUUGCUAUAUCUUCAUCCAAAGACUUUGUGCAUCCAGCUACAUUUCCCUUGAUAUGGGCUAUGUGUUGUUUCAUUCUAUAAAUGCCACCACUGAGUACUUUUUUACACAACUUACACUUCACCUUAUCCGAGUUUGAAGGAUCCGCCAACACCCCAUAUUCCCAUCCCACAUUGUUUGAAGCAUGCUUUAAUGGAUUAUCUGAUUGGGUGGACAACAUUGGAUUAGAUGCUCCGGAUGAUACAGUGCCCGCCAUCUAAAAAAGCAGAAAAUCAUUUAACUAUAAGUACAUGAAAAGAAGGCCCUCCAUCGAGAAGAAUAGAAUCAUAGAGUUUGUAGAAAUUAAAUAUAUUAAUCCAAAUCCUACAAGAAGCAGAAUUAAAGCACAACACAAGCAAAGGCAACUAGAAAAAGAGUAGUUAGCAUGUUUAGAUUAGUUGUCAAAGCAGCCAACUUUUCUUAUGCUACUUCGAAACUAAAUCCACAGUGAUAAAAAUAAAAGUAGAAGAAACAUCAAACUUACAAUGAAGGAGGCUUAUGAUAGGAGCAUAUUUAUGCGACUGAGUUAGUUUGUUCUCAUGUAUUUAUGUUGUUAUUUCUUAGUUAAUUAUGUAUUUUAAGCUAUUUUCGUGUGUUUGUAGGUCCAUAGGCCUUAUAAAGCAAAAAGAUGCAUUUUGGUGCAUUUUGGAGCAGUUUUGGGCCUGGAAUGAAUAGCACGUGGAUGGACGAAAUUGAAGACUAAAAAGGCUAGGAAUGUGUUAAAGAGAAAGAAGAAUUAAUGUAAAAAGGACAAAGAGCUCAGCCACAAAGGGGUUUCACUCCACCAUUCACCUUUCCAUCAUUGCCGUGCACCACCAUUGCACUCCCUUUGGAUUCCUAUGCCGUGCAUCAUCAUCCAUGUUCCCUCCAUUGACUCAUUUGUUGCAUCAUUUCACCUCCCUUUCCUACCAUGUGCACAAUCAUUCAUGUUCCCUAGCUGCAACACCACUCCAUUUUACCCCCAUGCUUUGCAUCAUCGCUUCACUUUCACCUUUGAAUCAUUUCAAACACCACUCAUUGCACUCAAUUGCUACACCAUUCCUUGUUCCCUCCAUCAUUUCAGAUUUCAUGCAUCAUUACAUUGACUCAUUGCACUCAAUUGCUACACCAUUCCUUGUUCCUUCCAUCAUUUCAGAUUUCAUGCAUUAUUACAUUGAAUCAUUGCACUCAAUUGCUACACCAUUCUUUCUUCCCUCCAUCAUUUCAGAUUCAUGCAUCAUUACAUUGACUCAUUGCACUCAAUUGCUACACCAUUCUUUGUUCCUUCCAUCAUUUCAGAUUUCAUGCAUUAUUACAUUGAAUCAUUGCACUCAAUUGCUACACCAUUCUUUCUUCCCUCCAUCAUUUCAGAUUCAUGCAUCAUUACAUUGAAUCAUUGCACUCAAUUGCUACACCACUCCAUGUUCCCCUCCAUUGCCAUGCACUUCCUCUAUAAAAGGAAGUGUGUGUAACAUAAAUUUAGUUCAUACUUAGUUAGAUCAUUCACUCCCAUUUCAACACAACCUUCAUCCAAACACAUCCAUUCAUCUUCACAUCUAUUCCUCCAUACAAACAAACCUUCAAACACUCACCAACACCUUGUGCCGUAGCAAAGGAAGGGAAGGAAAGUGCUUGGACGUGCUUGCUGUCCAACUUGGAUCGUUUGAGCGUUUAGGUGUUUUCUUUCUUUUGUUUCUAAUGUUUAAAUUCAUUUCCUUUUGUUUUGUUGUAAAUAUGAGUGGCUAAACCCCUCUUGGUUAGGGGUGAUUUCAAAGCCAUGAUUAUGUGUGCAAUAUAAUUUGAUGAAUUUCAGUUAUGAACUCUUGAAUCGUGAAUGCAAUUGGCUUAACUAUUUGAUUGAUAACUUAUUUGUAUUUGUUAAUUAAGGGUCGACACUUAAUUGGCAUGCAUAAAUCUGUUGCUAGAAUAUAAGGAAGUUUCACAUAAUCGUUACAAACUUAUAUUCACAUGUAGUGAAGGUCGCUUAUAAACGAUCGCGUUAAGUUCAAUUCCUAGCAUGAGUGACAUGAUGUCAUAGUUGCAAGUGCUUUGUCAAUGCUUAUGAUUUUCAUUAAACGUAAUGAUCUUUGAUUGUAUCUCUAUUAUGAUGUCAUGUAGGGAACUUUAGAAGAAUGUUUUGGGUUGUCGAAUGAUGUCAUCCAAUCCAAUAAAACAAGGAAAAUCUGAGAGUUAACUAGUGAUGUCACGGUUAAUUUGGAGCAUUGUUGUUCAUAAUUCAAUGAAGUAGUAACUGGAAAUUAAGUUAUUUGCAUACAUCUCAUGUGUGGAGAAAAAGCCUCUAGCUAUCCCAUCCAUCAUCUUAUUUCUCAAAUUUAUUUUACAAUCUGUCUAGUUUUUCAUACUUGUUUGUUUGUUUCAACUUCAUCCGAAUCAAAACACCCCUUUUAGUUUCUUGUUUCAAAGUGUUUCAAAUCUGUUUUAGUUUGUGUUUUUAAGUGUUUUGAUUCAAGUAAAAGUCAACUUUCGUCCAAAGUCAUUCCUAGUGUCUAGUUUAAGUUUAUUUAGUUGUUUUAAGCUGUUUUGAGUAUUUUAAGUUUGCUUUGAGUCUUGUGAGUCUUGUUAAGUGUUUUUAAGUUUAUUUUUAUGUUUUUGAGUCAGUUUAGAGGUUAUUUGCAAGCCUUCCUAAUCUCCGGUCCAGAACGAUCCCUAUUUAUACUUAUACUACAAUUGUCAAAAGAGGGUUAAAUUUGUGUGUUAAGUUAAUUUUCGCAUCAGCUUACAGGAGAAACUUGUUUAAACAUAUAUUCAUUCAUCAAGUGUGUCCCGAGUUGGCCUGCUCAAGAUCUUACGAAAAGGAAACAAGCUAUUUACAUGAUUGUUUCAAACAAAAUAGGACUUGCAAUGUGCAUGAAGAAAAUGUUGUUAGAAAUAUGCCCUGAAAGUCAAUCUUUGGAAGAAACCUUUCAGGACAAUGAAUGGAUGUAUAGAUGAUUCUUGUACAUCAAAUGGCAAAGAUACUAAUUAGGACUAUCUCAACACACGAUAUAUGUCCUAAAUAGUGAAUCCAUGGACAAUGGAUUGAUGGAAGAAGUAAUCUAAUGAUGUUAGACUACAGAGACCUUCUUCACAUAACCAUCAUGUCCAAAAGGUUCCUGGUCAUAGGAUUGUCGGAGGGAUACUGACAAUGCAUAGACCGGUACAUACUAUGUCCGCUUCAAUUGGAAGGAUGGAAAGUCUCGUCCCAUUCGUGUAGUGACACUAAGACAAGUAUGUAGGUGCUCAUUAAGGGAAUGAGUUCACUGAACACAAUCGAACGAGAGUACUUGCAUAGAGGUCUACUCACAUGUCAAGCAAGUAACUCUAAUGGUUGGAAUAAUGUAAGUAGUCCUUUGACCUGAGGCAUCAUAGUUGUCUUGUGGUUAGGUACUUGAUCUUUGAUUAUGUCAAAGUCACUCCAUCCGCGGGUGUCCACGGCAUAGUUGGGGUUAAGCCACUUAGUCAUGGAGGCAAGUGAAUGUGCAACAAGGAAUCUCUAAUCCUCGUUAAGAGAGGAUGAAUACUCUAAGAUAUGAUUCGGGAAUCUUCGGCCGAAGUAUCGAGCGUAAUAAAGGAAAGCGUUCCUAUACGACUCAAAUGAAUCAUAUAAGAAGGAAUAAUCACAUUAGGGGUUUGACAUAAUAUAUCCAUACCCUAGUAAUGUGAUUGAGAGUAUUGUUUUAGAGAAGGAUCGAAUUACAUUGUAAUUCCAAUUGAAUAGGUUCUCCGAACAAAUUCUACAUUAACUUGGGUAGCCAUGAUAUAUGGUUAGAUGUCACUCAUGACUUGUGAGUUCUUCUAGAUGAUUAAAUGUAGUCGUCAAAGAAGAAGGUGAAUUAAAAGUAAGUUUUAAUUCACUAAGUGAUUGGAUUAAAUAUAAUCAAUUGGAUUGGUGCCAAUCACCUCACUGCCUUGCUAAUUAGAACCUAAAAUGAUUGUACACCGAUACACUCUUGUAGUGAGUAACUAAUGGAUGAUGGAAAUAAUUAAUUGGAUUAAUUAAGUGUUGUGAUUAAUUAGAAAGUCUAAAGAAAUCAUAAAAGCGAUAAAAGAUCGUUUUGGGCUUAAAGAAAAGUUCGGGUGUAAUUGGGCCCAUUGGGCCUAAACCCAUUGGGCUUUUAUUCAAGCAUAGGAUGACUUGAAAUGAUAAAAGCCCAAAGCCUAAACCAUACACAUAGGGCCGGCCAAAGAGAGGGAAAGAGAAAGUCAAAUUGUUGACUUGUUUCUUUUGUUAUAAAAGGAACUUUAUAGUGAAAAAGUUCAUUAGGGUUUUUUGUGUGUUCAUUUCAACAAAAGAGAAAACAAAAUAUCUCUCUCUCAAAACACAAAGGGCCGGCCACCAAAGGGGGUAUUUAGCUAAUCUUCUUUUUCUCCCUUUGGUCAUUCCUCCAUCCAUCUCACUACACUAGUGGGUGUGGAUCUUUAGAGGUCUUCAACCUUGGAGACUAAAGGAGAACCAAGGAGCACUCAUUCUAGCAAAGUGGAGGAGGCAAGGAGGGAGGCUAGGCUCAAGGAGUUCCAAGAGCAAAGAACUUGGAGGUGGUCUAUCCUUGGUCUCAAGUCUAAAUCAAGGGGUAUAAAUCUACUCCUACACUUUGUUCUUCAAUAAAAUGUUUUGAUGCAUCUUAUAUAAACCUAUGCAUCUUGAAGGGUAUUUGCAUGACUAUAGCUUUGAUAUUAUUUGAUAACAUGCUUCCGUUGCUUUCGUAUAUAAAUUUUGAAUUGUAUAUGCAUGCUAGUCACUAGAAAUCCCACAUGAAUCUCAUUAUUUUCCCUUUAAAUGUUGCUAUCAUUGAUUCAUUAUCAGAUUCAGAUGUACAAAAACAUAGUUAUUUAUGUGUAACCAACUAACCAAGUAAGCCUCUAAGAAGUUCAAAAGAAUUACAGCCAAUGAAUAAGAAUAACUAAUCCUUCUCUUAACUAAACUAAGAGCCUAUGAAUACACAGUUGUAACUUGUAACCAGAGAUCAAUUUCAAACAUGUAAAUAGGGAUUGACUGUUAUUGAUGUAAUCCUCAUGUAUUAUAAAUUUAUAAAUAGAUUGCUCAACCACAUUAAUGCACGGUAUGCAAUGAAGGAAAAAUUUUGUCCUAGCUAAGAACAUGUGAGAAUAUUUGAACACAUAUGCAAACUAUUAACACAUUAAAGUAGGCAUGCAUUCAAAACAAUUCUAAAACCCAUGACUUUCAAAGCCUAGUGAAUGGUGAACCACAAGACUCUUUAACAUCAUUAAAAAGAAAGAAGGUUUUAGAGAUUCAUUACCCUUGAGCUCAUCCUUGUUUACACAAGGGAUUUACCCAAGUGGAGGGCCUUCAAGUCACCUCCUAGCUCCUUGGAUCUUCCUUGUGAUUUUCUUCCUUUUGAUGCUCCUUUGCUCCUUGAGGAUGUGAGGAAAGGAUCUCCAAAAACACCAAAGAUUUGGUGUCUCUAAGUCUCCACACCAAGGAUGAGGUGUGAAGAUGAAAUGGAUGACUUUUUGAUUGCUAGCUAUAUCUUCUCUAAGUGGCUGGCCUCCUUUAGAGAAAAAGAGAGAAAAUGUUUCUCAUCUUUGCCUCAAGAAAACCCUAAUGAGGUAAAAACUAUAAAGAUGCUUUUCUAUCUAUUUUCUUAGGUGAGUGGCAGACUUGCAAUUAAGCAAAACUUACCACUCCCUCACUAUGGCCGGCCUCUUUUAAGUGAUUGGGCUAUUUGCCCAUAUUGUUUUUAGUUGUCAUACAACUUAAACAUAAUGGGCCUAGUGGACCAAACCCUUUUGGACCCUGAAGCCCAAAACUAACUUAAAAACCCAAUACGAACCUUUCGUAUAAUUAAUUAACUAAUUAAUUAACCUUGACCAUAUUUCAAUUAAACCAUUUAAUUGAUUAUCCAUUUCAUUUAUAUUUCUUCACUUUCAUCCUUACUCGGUGUACGAUCCAUUAGGUUCUAAUUAGCGAGGUAGUGGACGAUUGUUACUGAUAGGAGCAUAUUUAUGCGACUUAGUUAACAUGUUUUCUUGCAUUUACUUAGUUAGUUAUUGCUUAUAAGAGUGUUUUAAGCUAUUUUCGUGUGUUUGUAGGUCCUAAUAACAAAGUUGGAAAGAAAGUGCAUUUUGGUGCAAUUUGGAGCAAUUUUGGGCCAAAAUGGAUUGCAUGCAUAUGAAGCAAGUGGGAUGGACGUUUUUGGUGUUUUAAAAAGGGUUUCAACACAUGCAAAAAUCUGAAUAAUGAAGUUGAAGUGUGGAAGUGUGCAGAUACAUACACGUAAGGAACAAUUUGAAAGGAAAAGAAGUGAAAGAUGCCAUUUGUUGGAUUGCUUUACAAGAUGUAUUCACAUUUUCAGCAACUACAAACAUAAUUGCAAGCUGAAAUGAUGCAUAGCAUGUGUGUAGAGGUGUAAAGUGGUCAAAAGUUGAUGUUUGCAAGAUGAAAUGAUGCAAAACAUGUGUGUGAAAGUUGUCUAACAGCUAGUACAUGUGGAAAAGGGAUGGAAUACAAGGCAAAUGCAUCAGAUAUUGAAGAAUGAAGGCACAUGGACAACUACAAAGGAGUUGAAUUAGCAAAAAAGGAAUGAUUGCCUUUUGUUAAAGGCAAGACACAAUGAUAAAAGAGCAUGUAAACUAGCUGUUUUUGCAUCAUUUUGGUCUUUGUUUGUAUUGUUUAUUGAAGCCACUUGAGUGAUUCUUUGCUUUGGAGCUUCUAUAAAUAGGGAGUGAAGGGAAGAACACUAGACAUUACACUACAUCAAAAACACAUCAACCACCCCUCCAUAUUCAGAAUUUUCGCCAGAAAUCAUUCCCUCUCUUUGCCGCAGCCUUCCACCACCAUUCUCCCAAAUUUCUGCCAAAAUUCACCCCUUGCCGCACCCCCCAUCAAUCCUAAACCCUUCCAUACCCUUCCCUACCCAUUCUCCCAUACAAAUACCACCCAAAAACCUGUCCAAAGUCUCUGUGCCGUAGCAAGGAGGAAGGAGAAUUCGUGGAUGCACCUGCUAUCCAAAUUGGAGUAUCUAGGUGUUUUCUUUCUUUUGAUUUUAAUGUCUAAAUUUAUGUAUAUUUGCUUUGUGAGUAUGAGGAACUAAACCCCCCCUUGGCUAGGGGGGAAUUUGAAACCAUGUUUAUGCUUGCUAUAUGAUUUGAUUACUUCUAAUUGCUUUUCAUAAGUUGUGAAUUCAAUUUACUUAUCUACAAGAAUUAAAACUGAUUUGUGUAUGUUGGUUGAGAGUGCACGCUUAAUUUUCAUGCAUAAGUUUGAUGCUAAGAUAUAAGAGAGUUUCACCUAAUCGUUAUGAACUUAUAUUCACAAGUAGUAAAGGUUGUUGAUCACAAUCGUGUUAAGUAAAUUCUUGGCAUAAGUUUCAUGCAAUUCAUAGUAACGAGUGCUUCGCCAAUGCUUAUGAUUUUCAUAGAACUUAAUGAUUCUUGCUUGUAUCUCUAUUAUGCAAUUCAUGUAGGGAACUUGUGGGGAAUUCUUUGGGUUGUCGUAUGCAAUUCAUCCAAUUCAAUAACUUAAGGAAAAUCUGAGGGUUAAUUAGUGCAAUUCACGGUUAAUCUGGGGUGUUGGGAAUUCAUGGUUUAUUGAGAAGCAAUUGGAAAUCGUUUUGUAUGAAAGUGUGACAUGUGUGGAGAAGAACCCCUUAGCUAGCUUUCCAUCCAUUCACUUUUAUCAAAUUCGUUUUAGAAUCUGUUCAAUUUACAAAGUUUGUUCUUGUUUUCAAUUUUCGUCAAAACUCAAUCCCCAUUUAUUUUGAAGUGUUAGAUUAGUUAGAAAUCAAUUUAGUUUGUGUUUUUAAGUGUCUUGAGUCAAGUCAUAACCCAAUUUCGUCCAAUUUAGUGUUAGGUGUUCAAAACUGCCCAGAAAGUGUUUUUAAGGCAGUUUUGAGUGUUUAUUUGCUGUUUUGAAUCUUUUGGUUUGUUUUGGUGUUUUAUAGUUUAGUUUUGCAUUCUUUGAGUCUAGUUUAGUGUUUUAAACUUUGUUUUUACGUUUUGAGUCAGGUUCAAGUGAUUUGGCAAUCCCUCAUAAUCCCCGGCCUAGAACGAUCCCUACUUACAUACUUUGUGUGCUUAUAUAUUUCGCAUCAGUUACUCUUAACGAUCGAUUGUGAAUUGAAACUACAUUUCAAUUCUCCCUUUGAUUAAGAUUAGUGUUUGCUAAUCUUCAGGGCUUCCACAAACCAUGAGUGACACCUAGCAGCAUGUCAUGGCUACCUAAGCCAAAUAGAAUUGGUUGGAGAACCUAUCCAGUUACAAUUACAAUGCAAUACGGUCAUUCUCUAAUACAAUACUCUUAAUCACAUUGUUUGAGUGAUAGUUUGUAUCAUGUCUACUAUCCAAUGUGAUAUUUCUUUAUAUGAUUCAAUUGAAUAUGAUUUGGAACAUACUUCCUAAGUCAUAUUCGUAUGCUUUGGCCAAAGACUCCCGAAUCAUAUCUUAGAGUAUUCUCCUUCCACCAUGGAAGGUUAGAGAUUCCUUGUUGUGCAUUCAUAUACCUACAUGACUAGAUAGCUUGACCCCAACAAUGCCGUGGACACUCUCGAUGGAAUGCCUUUGACAUCAUCAAAGAUCAAGGACCUAACCAUUAGACAUCUAUGAUGCCUCAGGUCAAAUGACUACUUUGCAUAUUGCAACUUACGAGUUCUUACAUGACAUGUAUGUUCGAACUCUCUUUUGAUCGUUGUUCAGUGUACUCGAUUACUCUUUCAAGCACCUAUGUCUUUGUCUUAGUGUCCAACACUAAAUGACUUGAGACUAGUCAUACUCACGCUUGAGUUGACAUAACACAUACUAACCUUAGCGGAUUGUCAAUGCCCAAUUGGCAAUCCUAUGGCUAGGAACGUUUUAGGAAUGAACAUAAGAGAAAGGUCUCGUUAAUCUAACUUAUUUAAAUCACUUCUCUCUUAGAUCAAAUACAUUCCUUGGAUUCCCUUAUCGCUUAAACACAUGAUACAAUAAAUAGUGAUUAACAACAAGCUUUGCCCUUCAUUAAACAUAUAAUAGUUUAAUACAAUAAGUAUUCCAAAAGCUAUUACAUCAAAUGAGUGGCUUUGUGGGCAUACUUCCAACAAUCUCCCACUUGCACUCAAAGCCACCUUCUCAUGUAUCUAAUACCCAUCUUUUCCAUAUGGCUGUCAAGUUGGAUUUGAGACAUUGGCUUUGUCAGUGGAUCUGCUACGUUAUCGGCUGAGGCAAUCCUGAGGAUGUUGACUUUCCCCUCGGCAGCAUAUCUUCUAAUGAUAUUAAAGCGCCUAUCAAAAUGCUUGUUCUUUUGAUGAGCCCUGCGUUCCUUGGCUUGAGCUAUCGCCCCACUAUUAUCACAGUACAAAGUUACUGGUGAUGUAAUGGUUGGAACCACUCCAAGUUCAGUAAUGAACUUCUUUAUCCAGAACGCUUUUUUGCUGGCUUCAGCUGCAGCGACAUAUUCUGCCUCCGUCGUGGAAUCAGCAAUUACAUCAUUUUCUUGCUUUUCUAGCUAACAGCCCCACCAUUCAGAGUGAAUACAUAUCCUGAGUUGGAACUUCUAUCAUCGACGUCAGAUUGGAAAUCUGCGUCUGUAUAGGCUUCCACUCGCAACUCUGUUGCUCUUCCAUAAACGAGAAACAUGUCCUUAGUUCUUUUUAAGUACUUAAGGACCGUCUUGACAGCUACACAGUGUUUUAAUCCUGGGUUAGAUUGAUAUCGACUAGUAAUGCUCACAGCAUAUACGAUAUCAGGCCUUGUGCAUAUCAUAGCAUACAUGAGACUUCCUAUGGCGGAAGCAUAAGGAAUAGCACUUAUCUGCCGUAUCUCUUCAGGAAUCUUAGGUCCCAUGGACUUAGAAAGGUGAAUUCCAUGUCUCACAGGAAGAAGACUUUUCUUAGAUUGUUCCAUCUGGAACCUACUUAGCACCUUAUCUAUGUACAUAGAUUGGGAUAAUCCAAUUAAUUUUCUGGAUCUAUCACGAUAGAGUUUUAUCCCAAGUACAUAAGAUGCAUCUCCCAAAUCUUUCAUGUGGAAGGUUUUGGACAACCAUACUUUUACAGAAGAAAGUACUGCAGUGUCAUUCCUGAAUAGUAAUAUGUCAUCUACAUAUAACACUAGGAAUACAACUGCAUCCCCAACGACCUCUUGAUAAACACAAUUGUCGUCUUUGUUUUGAGAAAAACCAAACGUUUUGAUUUCAGUAUCAAAACGAAUGUUCUAGCUCCUGGAGGCUUGCUUAAGUCCAUAAAUGGACCUUUGAAGCUUGCAUACCUUAGUCCUUUCAGACUUGGACACGAAACCUUCAGGUUGAGUCAUAUAGAGCUCUUCCUCUAGGUAGCCAUUUAGAAAGGCCGUCUUCACGUCCAUUUGCCAUAUCUCAUAAUCAUGGUACGCAGCUAUAGCAAGGAAAAUCCGAAUGGACUUAAUCAUGGCUGCAAGAAAGAAGGUUUCUUCAUAGUCAAUCCAUUCUCUUUGCCUGUGACCCUUGGUUACGAGUCCAGACCUGAUUUUGAUACAUGGAAUCCAUCUUGGAUUUCAUGGCCUCUUGCCAUCUCUUUGAAUAUAUGUCAGACAUUGCUUCAGUGUAGUCUCUAGGGUCUUCCUUUGUGUCAUUGUCACCUAGAAGGUGCAAUUCCCCAAAGUCAUUAUCUAAGCCAUACCUCUUAGGUGGCUUGCUAACCCUUUCAGAUCUACGUGGAGCUAGAGGUUUAGGAACAGGGUUGUCAACUUGUCGAGUGCUUAUUUGUGGUUCAUAUUAAUCUUAUUAAUUUCCAUUGUUUUACUUAUAGUUCCUUUGAGAACAAAUUCGUCCUCUAGAAACUUAGCAGUUCUGGCGACAAAAACCUUUUGGUCGUUAGGAUGGUAGAACUCAUAUCCCAUAAUUUCUCUAUGAUAUCCCACAAAAUAGCACAUAACUGAUCUCGCUUCAAGCUUAGUAGCUUCAAGCUUCUCGACAUAUGCUUCACAACCCCAAAUCUUAAUGUGAUUAAGACUUGGCUUUCUUCCAUGCCAUAUCUCAUAGGGCGUCUGUGAAACUGACUUGGAAGGUACUCUAUUAAGCAAGUAAGCUGCUGUAUAUAGAGCGUAUCCCCAUAAUGUUAUUGGUAGAUCUGCGAAACUCAUCAUAGAACGAACCAUGUUCAUCAAGGUUCGAUUUCUCCUUUUAGAAACUCCAUUAAGUUGUGGAGUUCCCGGUGGAGUCCACUGUGAUAUUAUUCCACACUCUUUGAGAUAAUCUAGGAACUCGGUACUUAGAUACUCUCCCCCUCAAUCUGAUCUUAGGAUCUUUAUUUGUUUCCCAGUUUUCUUCUCAACUUCCUUCUUGAAUUCUUUGAACUUUUCAAAGGAUUCUGACUUGUACUUCAUAAGAUACACAUAGCCAAACCAAGAAUGAUCGUCGGUGAAUGUGAUAUAGUAGGAGAAGCCUCAUCUCGACGUAUUAGACAUAGGUCCACAUACGUUAGUGUGGAUUAACCCUAGAAUUUCAGUGGCACGCUCUCCUUUCCCAGUGAAUGGAGAUUUGGUCAUCUUCCCUUUUAAGCAACAUUCACAAGUACCCAUUUGGUCAUUACCUAAUGGGCGGAAAUAUCCGUCUUUCGACAUCUUGCGAAUCUUAUCAAGGUUCACAUGUCCAAGUUUAAGAUGCCACAUCUUUUCUCGGUUAACUUCUU
rnacentral:lncRNA from 1 species